UACGUAGGGUGCAAGCGUUGUCCGGAAUUAUUGGGCGUAAAGAGCGUGUAGGCGGCCCGAUUAGUCCGCUGUGAAAAGUCCAGGGCUCAACCCUGGAAUGCCGGUGGAUACUGUCGGGCUAGAGUCCGGAAGGGGCGAGUGGAAUUCCUGGUGUAGCGGUGAAAUGCGCAGAUAUCGGGAGGAACACCAAUGGCGAAGGCAGCUCGCUGGGACGUGACUGACGCUGAGACGCGAAAGCGUGGGGAGCAAACAGG
rnacentral:rRNA from 1 species